CGGAGGAUAAGAAACUAAAAAGGAUUCCCUCAGUAGCGGCGAGCGAAGCGGGAAAAGCUCAACAUGAAAACCGGUAGGGGUACACCCCCCCCUGACCGGGUUGUAGGGUAAAGUGGUGUCGUCAGUGUCGAGUCGGAUAUAAAUCCCGUUUGGAAUGGGGUGUCAUAGAGGGUGAUAACCCGUCUUGAUCCGACAUGCCGAUGCGUUACGAUGACCUUACAAAGAGUCGGGUUGCUUGGGCAUGCAGCCCAAAGUGGGUGGUAAACUCCAUCUAAAGCUAAAUAUCAGCGAGAGACCGAUAGUGUACAAGUACCGUAAGGGAAAGAUGCAAAGAACUUUGAAAAGAGAGUCAAACAGGGCUUGAAACCGUUAAGAGAGAAGCGAAGGAGGCCAGUGAUCAUGGGGCCAGAUCCCCAAGUGCCCGUACAGGGGCGCCGUAACGUUCUGGUUUUUCCCGGGGCAGCGCCGACCGGCGGGCUCGUGACAAAGGGGAGGGGGUUGAGGGAUUUGUUUCCCGCCUCUUGCUCCUCUAUGGCUUUGCCUCUGGUCGAGGGCGUUUACACCUUCCACUUUAUUGUGUGAGGGCGCUGUCAAAAUGGCCUUUUCCAUCCCGUCUUGAAACACGGACCAAGGAGUCUAACAUACUCGCAAGUGUUUGGGUGUUUAAAACCUCUGCGCACAAUGAAAGUAAAUCGGUAGCUCUGCGUUACUGUACGGUGGGAACCCUAACGUAUGUAUACAUGGGGGCACCAUCACCCGGUCCCGAUCCCCUCGGGGUGGUUGGUUUCGUGGCAGAGCGAGUAUGCUGGGACCCGAAAGAUGGUGAACUAUUCCUGAAUAGGGCAAAGCCAGAGGAAACUCUGGUGGAGGCUCGUAGCGAUGCUGACGUGCAAAUCGCUCGUCGAAUUUGGGUAUAGGGGCGAAAGACUAAUCGAACCAUCUAGUAGCUGGUUCCCUCCGAAGUUUCCCUCAGGAUAGCGAGAGCAAAUGCAAGUCAGUAUCAUCCGGUAAAGCGAAUGAUUAGAGGCCUCGGGGGAGUAACUCCUUCGACCUAUUCUCAAACUUUAAAUAGGUGAGGCGCCGGUCAAGUUGCUUCGAACAAUGAACGCCGUGCGGACAAUGAUUGCUCUUAGUGGGCCGAUUUUGGUAAGCAGAACGACGAUACGAGCGGGAUGAACCGAAAGCGACGCUAAGGUGCCAAACUCCCGGCUCAUUCAGACACCAGAAAAGGUGUUGAUUCAUACAGACAGCAGGACGGUGGCCAUGGAAGUCGGAAUCCGCUAAGGAGUGUGUAACAACUCACCUGCCGAAUGGAUCAGCCCUGAGAAUGGAUGGCGCUUAAGCAGGGGACCGAGGCGUUGCCGUUGGGGCAAAUACGAGGCCCUGAUGAGUAGGAGGGCGUGGGGGUUUUGAAAUACGGUACAUUCGCGUGGAAGCCUUGGGCGUGAGCUCGGGUGGAGCGGCCCCUAGUGUAGAUCUUGGUGGUAGUAGCAAAUAUUCAAGUGGGAACCUUGAAGACUGAAGUGGGGAAGGGUUCCACGCGAACAGUGCUUGGACGUGGGUUAGUCGGUCCUAAGAGAUGGGGAAACUCUGUAGCCAAGUGCGCUCUUAUUUUUUCGCAGCGCAGUCCAUCAAAAGGGAAGCGGGUUAACAUUCUCGCACCGGGAUGUGGAAACUGUGGUUACCGCAAACUGCGGCAACGCAAAUGAACUUGGGGACGCCCGUAGGAGCUCCGAACAGGGAUCUCUUUCCUGUUUAACGCGCUCAACCCCCUGGAAUCGGUUUGUCCGGAGAUAGGGGGCGGAAGGCCGGAAAAGCACCGCACGUCUUGUGGUGUUCGGAACGCUCGUAAUGGCCCUUGAAAACCCAGGGGAAAGCAGCCGUCCACGCGCCUCUUCUGGAUGCGGGACGAGUAAUUCUCACACCUGGCCGUACCCAUAACCGCAUCAGGUCCCCAAGGUGAACAGCCUCUAGUCAAUAGAAUAAUGCAGGAAAAAA
rnacentral:rRNA from 2 species